GUCAGAUGAUUUGAAUUGGUACGCUGAUGCUCAAUGAAGCUGUAAAUUAAUAGCAUGUUAGAGUUCUGAUGGCA
ensembl:snoRNA SNORD28 Small nucleolar RNA SNORD28